rnacentral:rRNA from 1 species
CUCUGCGCAAGGGAUCUUUUGGUUCGCUAGACGAAGAAGGGCGCAGCGGAAUGCGAAAUGUGCAGGAGUCGCAGCGAAGAUAGCACAUGCCUGAAAUCACGAGAGUGUGAGACUACCCCUUUGAAUUAAGCAUAUGAGUAAAGGGAGGAAAAGAAACUAACAAGGAUUCCUGUAGUAGCGGCGAGCGAAGAAGGAACAGCCCCGAGUGUAAUCACCAAUAUGUGAGAUGUCAUUAAUCUAUAGAACGAUGUUGAAACUUCGGCCUGAGAGGGUGAUAGCCCCGUAAA